CCGAGAUGUACCUCAAUAAUUUGAUAAGUCUAGCCACUAAAUUUGAUCUGUUUUACGUGAUUUCUGCUUGUACACUUGGCGUGUAAAUAUGUAUGUUAUAUCUCUCGUAAGGUGUUUAGUAUUGAUAAACGUUUCGACUUCGCCAGAGAGCGUUGGCUAGGAACUCUACGACCACGCGUGUCAAAUUAUUCCACUCAAAAAGAAGAUUGUCGUUAAGAAAGUCUUCACACCCAUUGUUACGAUGAUAUCUGACAAGAUGUGGCCAUUCUGUUAGUGAGGUUGUUAUUUGUUUGCGUUCCAGUAAAACAUUUUGUACAGAAUCUCAAGAUACUGAGUCGUAAUGAUGUUCUGGUGGAACCCCUUUAAGCUUCUUCUAACUGGAUUGUUACUGAGGUGGAUGGAUGGUGCCCUGAUUCACGCUGAUUCACGUCUUACCUGAUGAUGUCUUCGAUUGGAAGGACCCAUCAUGUCUGCCACAUUGAGUGAUUCUCGCGGUAUUGAACCUCGUGCAUUUUAGAGUUACAGCCUUUAACCUCAGAGGGUCACAGCUCGGAGACAGAUCGUCAUGCGAGACGCAGAUGUGGGGACACAUUCCUGUGCAGUGGAGCCCGCAACGUCCCCAACU